GAUGAACGCUGGCGGCGUGCUUAACACAUGCAAGUCGAACGAAGCACCUUGAUUUGAUUCUUCGGAUGAAGAUCCUGGUGACUGAGUGGCGGACGGGUGAGUAACGCGUGGGUAACCUGCCUCAUACAGGGGGAUAACAGUUAGAAAUGACUGCUAAUACCGCAUAAGACCACAGCACCGCAUGGUGCAGGGGUAAAAACUCCGGUGGUAUGAGAUGGACCCGCGUCUGAUUAGGUAGUUGGUGGGGUAACGGCCUACCAAGCCGACGAUCAGUAGCCGAUCUGAGAGGGUGACCGGCCACAUUGGGACUGAGACACGGCCCAAACUCCUACGGGAGGCAGCAGUGGGGAAUAUUGCACAAUGGGGGAAACCCUGAUGCAGCGACGCCGCGUGAGCGAUGAAGUAUUUCGGUAUGUAAAGCUCUAUCAGCAGGGAAGAAAAUGACGGUACCUGACUAAGAAGCAC
rnacentral:rRNA from 1 species